CUGGGGAGGAGUCAACGGCUCACGAGCCCUGCUAUUGGAGGAUCCCGCGGUGACUGACAGGCACGAGGAGCGUUAAAACAGGGGUCGCCACAGCGGAUCAUCUGCCUCCAUCUCAACCUGUCCCUCGCGUCCUCCUCCGUUGCACUAAACCCUCUGCAAAUCCUUCUUUACCACAUCAAUGAAUCUUCUCUGUGGUCUUUUCCUCUUGCCUGGAAGCUCUCGGUGACAAGUAAACAAUCUGUCCAUCCAUCCAUACAAACAAUCCAUCCAUUCAUCCAUCCAACCCCAGAUGGUCUUCUGUAUUAAACCACCACAUAUGGGCUUGGACACGCUUGCCAACAUCCCAGGGAAGCCCAUACCCCUCCAGCUCUCACCUACAUGCUUCACAGUAGCUUGGAAAAACAAUUCUACAUGGAAAACUAUUAAAA